UUUUCCUACGGGGGGCAGCAGUGAGGAAUAUUGGUCAAUGGGCGGAAGCCUGAACCAGCCAAGUCGCGUGAGGGAAGAAGGCCCUGCGGGUCGCAGACCUCUUUGGACGGGGAGCAAGGCCGCCGACGUGUCGGCGGAAGGAGAGUACCCGUAGAACAAGCAUCGGCUAACUCCGUGCCAGCAGCCGCGGUAAUACGGAGGAUGCGAGCGUUAUCCGGAUUUAUUGGGUUUAAAGGGUGCGUAGGCGGGCCUUCAGGCCGGCGGUAAAAUUGCGGGGGUCAACCCCGCCGAGCCGUCGGAACCGG
rnacentral:rRNA from 1 species